UACGGAGGAUCCAAGCGUUAUCCGGAUUUAUUGGGUUUAAAGGGUGCGUAGGCGGCCAGUUAAGUCAGAGGUGAAAGACGGUAGCUCAACUAUCGCAGUGCCUUUGAUACUGAUCGGCUUGAAUGAACUAGAGGUAGGCGGAAUGAGACAAGUAGCGGUGAAAUGCAUAGAUAUGUCUCAGAACACCGAUUGCGAAGGCAGCUUACUAUGGUUUUAUUGACGCUGAGGCACGAAAGCGUGGGGAUCAAACAGG
rnacentral:rRNA from 1 species